UACGUAGGGGGCGAGCGUUGUCCGGAUUUAUUGGGCGUAAAGAGCUCGUAGGCGGUUGGGUAAGUCGGGUGUGAAAACUCCAGGCUCAACUUGGAGACGCCACCCGAUACUGCUCUGACUUGAGUUCGGUAGGGGAGUGGGGAAUUCCUGGUAUAGCGGUGAAAUGCGCAGAUAUCAGGAGGAACACCGGUGGCGAAGGCGCCACUCUGGGCCGAAACUGACGCUGAGGAGCGAAAGCGUGGGUAGCAAACAGG
rnacentral:rRNA from 1 species